GACGAACGCUGGCGGCGUGCUUAACACAUGCAAGUCGAACGGAAAGGCCCUGCUUUUGUGGGGUGCUCGAGUGGCGAACGGGUGAGUAACACGUGAGUAACCUGCCCUUGACUUUGGGAUAACUUCAGGAAACUGGGGCUAAUACCGGAUAGGAGCUCCUGCUGCAUGGUGGGGGUUGGAAAGUUUCGGCGGUUGGGGAUGGACUCGCGGCUUAUCAGCUUGUUGGUGGGGUAGUGGCUUACCAAGGCUUUGACGGGUAGCCGGCCUGAGAGGGUGACCGGCAACAUGGGGACUGAGAUACGGCCCAGACUCCUACGGGAGGCAGCAGUGGGGAAUAUUGCACAAUGGGCGGAAGCCUGAUGCAGCAACGCCGCGUGCGGGAUGACGGCCUUCGGGUGGUAAACCGCUUUCGCCUGUGACGAAGCGUGAGUGACGGUAAUGGGUAAAGAAGCACCGGCUAACUACGU
rnacentral:rRNA from 1 species